GAUGCACGCUGGCGGCGUGCCUAAUACAUGCAAGUCGAGCGAAGCGGGGACGGGUGAGUAACCAGUGGCUAACCUCCUAUAAGCCCGGGCCAACUAAGGGCAACCGGAGCUAACCCGGAUACUUAUAGAUGGAUCCGCGCUGCAUUAGCUAGUUGGUAAGGUAACGGCUUACAAAGGUAACGAUGCAUAGCCGACCUGAGCGGGUGAUGGGACACACUGAAACGAAGAGACGGUCCAGACUCCGACGGGAGUCAGCAGUAGGGAAUCUUCCGCAAUGGGCGAAAGCCUGACGGAGCAACGCCGCGUGAGUGAUGAAGGUCUUCGGAACGUAAAACUCUGUUAUUAGGGAAGCGGUACGGAAUCAGAAGGCCACGGCGAACUACGAGCCAGCAGCCGCGGUAAUUC
rnacentral:rRNA from 1 species